rnacentral:rRNA from 1 species
AACGUAGGUGGCAAGCGUUAUCCGGAUUUACUGGGCGUAAAGCGUGUGCAGGCGGGUGGACAAGUGGUGUAUGAAAUCGCCAGGCUAAACCUGGCGGGGUUAUGCCAGACUGUCCGUCUGGAGUGCGAGAGAGGGGCGUGGAAUUCCGGGUGUAGUGGGUGAAAUGCGUAGAUAUGCGGAGGAACACCGAUGGCGAAGGCAAUCCCCUGGACCUGUACUGACGCUCAUGCACGAAAGCGUGGGGAGCAAACAGG